UACGUAGGUGGCAAGCGUUGUUCGGAUUCACUGGGCGUAAAGGGUGCGUAGGUGGCUUGAAAAGUUUGAUGUGAAAGCUCAGGGCUUAACCCUGAAAUGGCAUUGAAUACUGUCGAGCUGGAGGUUUGGAGGGGGGACUGGAAUUCUUGGUGUAGCAGUGAAAUGCGUAGAUAUCAAGAGGAACACCAGUGGCGAAGGCGAGUCCCUGGACAACACCUGACACUGAGGCACGAAAGCUAGGGGAGCAAACAGG
rnacentral:rRNA from 1 species